rnacentral:rRNA from 1 species
GACGAACGCUGGCGGCGUGCCUAAUACAUGCAAGUCGAGCGAUGAAGGAGAUACUUGUAUCUUUUGAAGAGCGGCGAACGGGUGAGUAACGCGUGGGGAAUCCGCCAAUGAGUGGGGGACAACAUUUGGAAACGAAUGCUAAUACCGCAUAAAAUCUAUUGAGACAUCUCAAGAGAUUGAAAGGAACAAUUGUUUCGCUCGUUGAUGAUCCCGCGUUGUAUUAGCUAGUUGGUGAGGUAAGGGCUCACCAAGGCGAUGAUACAUAGCCGAGCUGAGAGGGUGAUCGGCCAACUAGGGACUGAGACACGGCCCAAACUCCUACGGGAGGCAGCAGUAGGGAAUCUUCGGCAAUGGACGAAAGUCUGACCGAGCAACGCCGCGUGAGUGAAGAAGGUUUUCGGAUCGUAAAGCUCUGUUGUUGUUAAAGAACGUUGAUGAGAGUGGAAAGUUCAUCAAGUGACGGUAAACAACCAGAAAGGGACGGCUAACUACGUGCCAGCAGCCGCCGCAG